GGGAGAUGGAGAGGGAGAGAGGCAGUGGAAGGGAGAGAGAAGUGGAAAUAAGAGAGAUUGGGUGGCGUGUCCUUUUACAGUCCUCUUUUGGAAAUAUGAAGUUGCAUUGUGUGAUGGUGUUCUGUUUCCUGACCACCAGAUCAACGUUAGCAGUAAACAUUGUUCAACAUCCUCCUAGUCUUCUCUCAGCGGAAGGAGGAAAGGAGACUCUAGAAUGUUCUCAUGAUGAUGCAGAUCUCUACAGAAUGUUCUGGUACAAACAGAACACCAACAGAACCAUCCAACUGGUCGCUUAUUCUCUGGGGAAGGGAGUGACAGAAACAGACCCCAUCUUUGACAAGAAGAAGUACACGAUGACCCGUGAAGAGCAACUGAAGUCCUUCCUGCUGAUAAAGGACUUGAGGACCGGAGACUCUGCUGUGUAUUACUGUGCCGCCAGCUCAUCACAGUGGAAGAGACCUGCUCCCCUUCUUUGCAAUAACCUGUAACAGCCAGAUACUGGAGGAGGGG